GGGUAGUGAGAGCAGGUGGUGGUACGUCAUUCUAAGAUUCACCUGUCUUCUGGUGUUGUAGCUCAGGGACUUACUGUGAUAUGGAAUUUCACUGUGUUUAAUAGUCCUCAGUAGAUAUCUCUUCUGCAGGUUUGUCUACUGUACAAUCCAUGCCAACUUGUGCAACCUCUCAUCUCUUGAAGAAGCCUGUCCUUUGUAUUGAACUCCAUAAAAAGCAGUCUCUUUUCCUAUGUGUUAAGCUGCAACCUGAUAGGUUUUAGUAUGUGCUCAUAACAACGAGCAAAGAAUUUUUAUUAACCCUUUGAGGGUCACUUAGGAUAGGGAAGGAGAUGUUGGGAAGAGCAGUGGAUGUUGUUUAUCUCGACUUUAAUAAGGCUUUUGUUGCUCUUUCCCAUAAUAUCCUUGUAGACAAACUGUGUUACUGUGGACUACAUAAAUUGACAGUAAGGUGAAUCAGAAGCUGGCUGACCUGCUGAGCUCCAAAGGUUUUGAAUCGCAGAAAGCCAACAUAACCGAAGAGAGGUAACUGAGGUUUCAGUAGUAGGCUUGAUAGUAUUUAACAUCUUCAUUAAUGAACUGGAUCACAGGACAGAAUGCAUAUACAGAACUGGGAGGAGUGGCUUAUAAACGAGAUGGUUGUGCUGCCAUUCAGACAGACGUGGACAGGCUAGAGAAGUGGUCAGAGGGAAAGCUUAAACUUUGUGAAGCUUAGCUAAGGAAAAUGCAAAGCGCUGCCUCUGGAGAGCAGUAACACUGUACAGUAGUCUGUGCUGGAUGCAGAUGGGACGGAAAGCUGCUUGCAGGAAAGGACAUGGGUUUCUGGUAAAUACCAGCAGACUACGAGCCAGCAAUGCAUCUUAAUGGUAGAGAUGUCCGACUCCUCUUUGGAGGAGCAGUAAGUUUGGAGAGGUGGUCUUUCUUCUCUGUUCAGCACGGGUGAGGCUGUGUCUGAAGUGGGUCCAGUGCCUGGGAGAUGUGGACUUUGCAGUACGAAAGAUGCGGACACACUGGAGAAAGUCCAGCAAAUGGUGUCCAAGAUGAUAAAGGAAAUGGAGUAUCUGACAUACAGGGAGUGGCUGAGAGCUGGGACCGUUCAGCCAGUAGAAGGCUUAGGGGAUCUUACCAGUGUUUGUAAUUGCUGGGAGGGGAAGAAGAUCAAGCCAGACUCUUCUCAGUACAAAAGAAACAACAACUUUGUCACUGCAAAGUGGUCCAACACUGGCACGAAUUGCCCAGAGAAGAUACGGAGUCUCCAUCGUCAGAGAUACUCAGAAGCCAUCCGGACAUGGUCCUGUGCAAGCAGCUCUAGGUGGCCCUCCUUGAACAGAGGAGUUGAGCCAGAUGACCUCCAGAGGACCCAGCAAACUUCAUCAGCUCCUUGUGAUUUUGUAAUACUCAGAGGAGUGAGUCAGGCUGUGACUUAGUGACUACCAUCUGUUGGUUGAAGCAGUUACUGGAUGCAUGUAAAAGUGCAGUCACUGUGUAAUUCCUCAGCAUAUUCUAUUUAUGGUGGUGUUACAGCCAAGUGGGAGGAACAAGUUUAGGUUUUUUUAACACAGUUUGACCUUCACUCUGUCUCGCUCCCUCCUGUAGACUUCGUAUCUUAAUACUUAUAUCCCAGUAUUUCUGCCCGUCCUCUUACUCUCUUCAGUUGUUGUAGGCUAAAUAUCACAGUGGUUCCCUGGGAUUAUUGUUAUCUCAGAAUGUCUUUGCCACUCAGGCUUUCUUUUCUGUAUUCUAACCAAAUGUCAGUAAGUGUGGUGUUAUCUUCCUGAAUUGCACUGAUGCUGAGAAGAACUGGAAAUUCAUAUAUCCUUCCAUCUCCCGGUGCUUUCCGAUGCUGUUAUUUUUAAUGUACUACCUUGAAUGACAUCAAACAUAAAGCCAGAAGCAUCGCAACAAGACAUGAACGUGAGAAAGCAUUUUUAUUGCUCUUUUGUAGGGAAGGAUCAUCCUUUGCAGAAAAAGACAUGCCACAUGCAAAAUCCUCUGGUUUUCCAGAUGCAAAUGCUGAUCCUUAAUGCCUAAAGUAAAUAAAUGAAUAAGUAGUCCCAGUCAAAUGCUAUUCCAAACAAAUGUUUGGCAUGUGACUUCUCUGGUUCCAGUGAAGGGCCGCAAGAAUUUCUUUUGUUUGCUGUCAUCAGUUCUAAUACAGUUUUUCAUGGACGGAUUACCUUUCUUUGAGUAGAGGAGCAUCAUAUUUUAAGAGCUGAUUCACUUUAAAGGCUAAGAAGUUAAAGAGUGCAAAUAGUUUGAAACAACAUGUCUUCAAGGAGCGUAUGUUCUAAAGUGCUUUUUUGCAUGUGCUAAGAGAUCUAAGAGCAUUAGUUUGUCUUGGCAUUUGAGCAAGUUUCUUACUACAUUCUUGCAGCUGCAAUUUGUGCCCAUAGAAUUCUUGAAGGAAGCCUAGUUUAUCAAAACAUCUUUUUUUUUUUUUUUUCCUCUUCAGAAACAGGACUAAACUGCUGAGCUCCUAUUUAAAAAAUAAAAAGUAAAAAAUAAAAGAUAAGCUGAACGUGAAUGAGAGGAGGGAGAUCAGGUUGUUGGCAUCGAUUCAGACUUCAGUGGGCCAUUACCACUUGUAGCUGGUGCUUGGUGACUCACCUGGAUCACAGCCUUCGCGUGCUGAGCACUGUAGGAAUGAGUGCUGAUGGCUGAGACUCGAUGAUGUUUUUUGUAUGCAAGUGGGUGAUUUUUAUGAACUCAUAAACUCGAUGAACACGCCUGGAGCUUGCUGAUAAAAAGUCAAAAAUGUUUUCUCUUCUUGAUGGCAAGAUGUUCAAUAUGGUGUUAACCAUGCUGUUAACACGGUGUUAACCUGGUUUGCAACAUCAUUUAGGCAGCGACCUCUCACCAAGCAUUGCCAAUUCAUUUUUCGAAUGAUAUGGGAAGAUAAUUCAUGCUGUGACUGUUAAGAUUAAGACUCCUGGAGAAUCACACCUUCCACUCCAUUACCGUGCUGUAGGAGAGACGUUCUCACUCUGUGUAUGUACAGCCAAACGCUCAUAGAGUGCUUUUAGGUUUUGUACAGCACAGUGUUUUCACUCCAAACGAGCUCAUGGUCAUCAGUAUUUUUUAAAGGCAGCCACAGCAAUUGGACGUGUCGUCGUUCUGACUGCAUUUUCACACCGGGUCGGUUCCACGCUGAGUUCUGCACUCUACGGGCAGCACUUGCAGUAAUUUCUGGUUUGGAGCAUUUAGCUCUAACUGUAACCAUUUUGUUAGCUUACAGAAGCCCUGCCACAUUUCUGUCUUAAACAAUUCUAGGUUUACUUUAUGAACUGCAUAAAGUCUUGUGUCAUUUUUGUCUACAUUUGCCCAAAGUCGAGAAGGCUAGAAAGAACAUUUCAAUGCUUUUAACCAUAUUCUGCAUUAAUCCCUCAGUGGAGGAAACAGAGACGUUUCAUAAUUCAGCAUGUUUCAUCAGCUUAGCACACAGAUUGCAGAGGCAGCAGGAUGUUGAUUUGUAUUCAGCAAAAUGUAAAUAAAGGAUAAAAUGCUUUUGGAG
ensembl:lncRNA